CGUACCUUUUGUAUAAUGGGUCAGCGACUUAUAUUCUGUAGCAAGGUUAACCGAAUAGGGGAGCCGGAGGGAAACCGAGUCUUAACCGGGCGUUAAGUUGCAGGGUAUAGACCCGAAACCCGGUGAUCUAGCCAUGGGCAGGUUGAAGGUUGGGUAACACUAACUGGAGGACCGAACCGACUAAUGUUGAAAAAUUAGCGGAUGACCUGUGGCUGGGGGUGAAAGGCCAAUCAAACCGGGAGAUAGCUGGUUCUCCCCGAAAGCUAUUUAGGUAGCGCCUCGUGAAUUCAUCUCCGGGGGUAGAGCACUGUUUCGGCUAGGGGGCCAUCCCGGCUUACCAACCCGAUGCAAACUGCGAAUACCGGAGAAUGUUAUCACGGGAGACACACGGCGGGUGCUAACGUCCGUCGUGAAGAGGGAAACAACCCAGACCGCCAGCUAAGGUCCCAAAGUCAUGGUUAAGUGGGAAACGAUGUGGGAAGGCCCAGACAGCCAGGAUGUUGGCUUAGAAGCAGCCAUCAUUUAAAGAAAGCGUAAUAGCUCACUGGUCGAGUCGGCCUGCGCGGAAGAUGUAACGGGGCUAAACCAUGCACCGAAGCUGCGGCAGCGACGCUGAUGCGUUGUUGGGUAGGGGAGCGUUCUGUAAGCCUGCGAAGGUGGCCUGUGAGGGUUGCUGGAGGUAUCAGAAGUGCGAAUGCUGACAUAAGUAACGAUAAAGCGGGUGAAAAGCCCGCUCGCCGGAAGACCAAGGGUUCCUGUCCAACGUUAAUCGGGGCAGGGUGAGUCGACCCCUAAGGCGAGGCCGAAAGGCGUAGUCGAUGGGAAACGGGUUAAUAUUCCCGUACUUGGUGUUACUGCGAAGGGGGGACGGAGAAGGCUAUGUUGGCCGGGCGACGGUU
rnacentral:rRNA from 1 species